UGCCAGCCGCCGCGGUAAUACGGAGGGUGCAAGCGUUGUUCGGAAUUAUUGGGCGUAAAGGGCGCGCAGGCGGUCUUGUCCGUCAGGUGUGAAAGCUCGGGGCUCAACCCCGGAAGUGCACUUGAAACAGCAAGACUUGAAUACGGUAGAGGAGAGAGGAAUUCCUGGUGUAGCGGUGAAAUGCGUAAAUAUCAGGAGGAACACCGGUGGCGAAGGCGACCAUCUGGACCAAUACUGACGCUGAGAUGCGAAAGCGUGGGGAGCGAACAGGAUUAGAUA
rnacentral:rRNA from 1 species